CACGGAAACGACCUCCGAGUAACCGAGUCGUUCGUGCAUACCAUUACCGGACAGCUUGAUCGCGAGUGACGACCUGAAAAAGCCACGUUUAAACUGUAUGAGAAAGUGUCAGGGCUCGUUGAUGGAACGAGCCGCGAAGAGGAUUUCAAGCUUGCUAAGGAGGGCACAGUCUCGAGAGGCCAAUGGUCGCUCGCAUUCUCACGACCCAACGAAAUCGACUUUUGCGCUUCGAUCGCUACGCUAGAAACGUCGAACAACACGUAACGUUUCUUUAAAAUUUAUUCCUUUUAAAUUACAUACUGUCGGUUGUGUACGUUAAAACAUCGUCAUCUGUAUAGAGAGAGAUAAAUUAGCCGAGUAACGUGGGUCGAUCUGGUAAAAUGGUUCGUUGGCAAUAAUGCAGAAUGUCUUGAGAUCGAUGAGAGUACUAGUCCGUGACAGAUGUUAUUUUAGAUUUAAAACUUCGUCUUGAUUACGCGCUUAUGUCGAUAAUUUGGAUCAUUUAUUCAUGGAUUAAUGGAAAGUUCUUGCGGUAAUACUCGUUGUUGCACGAUAAAGUUUAUCGCUUUAUAAUUUGACUUAAAACCACUGUGAUUUCUAGCUCGCCAUAUUACAACCUAACGUCUAAAAGAAUAACAAUAUACGGCGGCUAGCGGACUACAAAUUCACCGGAAACUGUAUUAAGGUCGAGCGAGAUAAAGCAAUUUCUAUUCCGUGUAAAUCGAAUGAACGAAGUUUUGAUAAACGCGACGAAAACAGAGGAAGCUCUCUGCCUUAUCUUCCCCCGCUACUCGGUAAACUUUUAAAGACUCCUUAGUCCAGUAUCUCGCGCUAUUAACCAAGAACCGAAAAACUACUUGGGUGGCGAUCACCGUACAUGCAUCACAAAUCACCGUCGUAUAGCCUUUCCACGCGUUCUGUGUCCGUCCGUUAGUUCGUCCGUUCGUUCGUUCGUUUCACCAUCGACAUCCUAUGGCUACCGUUCACGAAACGUUCAACGCCCCGAAUUCCAAUUCUCGCAUACCAGCCUCGUUUUCAACAAACGCGCGGUGGCUUCCCCGAUAUCUCUUCACGCACCUGGACCGCAAAGGGAUCGAACCUGUGAUUGUUUCCGUUCCGUGACACGAAACGAUACUUAACCGCGUCUCUCUGUGAACCAACCAUUCCAACGCGAGGUUAACGCUUUGCGCAACUUUCCUUGGAUUUCACGGCACGUCAAGGGGAAUGAUUAAUAGGAAGGCAAACCGUAGUUUCUUCGUUUGAGGAUAGCAAAGUGUUGUAGGACUAAUUGUAAAUUUUGAAUAGGUGUUUGGUGUGGUAGUAGUUAAUUGAGGUAUUUGAAGGAAGUAUAAUGGUAAUGGUAAUCGAUACAUCAUUUCUUUUUGCUUUUCGAACGUUUUCUCACCGGUACGGGCAAGGUUUCUUGCCACGUGUACAUACCUUGCCUUUUGUAUUCCAUCAUUAGAUAUAUUUGAUAAGACAUUUCACGUUUCACAUCGAUCAAUAGCAACUGGAAUUCAACGAUGAAUGCGAACAAUUAGAAAUAACUGAAAAAUAUUGCACACGAAAAUAUCCAACUAUAUAACAGGUCUAUCGAAGAAAAAAAGAAAAUCUAAAAAGUACUUCUCUAUAUAAUACCACUCUUACUAUAUCGUAUCAAUGAAACGAACUUCCCGACGGAACCUAUCAAGCUAUCAAACCUAUCAAACAAUCAGACGAUAUCAAAAGACCCGUAUACGAAUAGCAUCACCGGCGAAAGACGUGUUACACCGAAUCAGAACACGGAUCUACCUCCUAGGACAUAAGCAUGUAACGAGGAUGAUACAGCAGAUAUAUAGCCUGGCAAACUGUCCACGUAGUCAUUUAUAUUGGAAGGUCGUGGCUCGAGAGAGGGGUCAAAUUUCCCGGUGGAAAUAAUUCAAGGAAAAUAGCCGACACACCGGAUGAAUCAGGAGAACUGUAUGGUCUAUAUGCAGAUUAUAUCGUCCCGGGUGGUUGUCGCUGGUGUUACCGGUAACGGACUCGGUAUACUUAACCCGAACCUCUUGUAUAUUACGUACAUUGUACCGGAUCGUUCGGUGUCGAGGUGAAAAUAAAAGGAGAGCUGAAUGUGGUGUUGUGGACGAAGAGAAAAGAAAAAGAAGGAAAGAUGGGCGACGCGUACCGGAUCUUGGCGUCUCGAUGUUAGGUGCACGUAGAAAACGUGAAAGGGGAUGCUGAGAGAACGCUUUGAGCCUGUGGUUAAUGAUACGCGAUGAUACGCGGCAUUCGUCACUGUCCGAUGUCCGGCUUGAUUGCCGCUACUGUUCUCUAUCCUUUAUCUUUCGCGGCCUCGUAACCGGCGGCGUGUGUACGCCGUUGCUACGGUUAAAUACGUCCACGUGUGCAUAAAACGCGUGUGGAUCCGAGCGAGCGUAAUGCGCCAACCGAGAGUCCGCUCUGGAAUUCGAGGCUUCGAGUAGCCGGCUUCUCGUGAUCAACGCUCGCGUUUCGUGAGAUGAAAGAAAUGGAUGCUUCGAUGCGAAGAAUCGCUGAAUAUGAUUUUUCACUUGAAACUUUCAUUUAUAGAGAGAAUAAUAGACACGUAAAAGGUGUUGAAAGUGAGGAUAUUUUUCAUUUCUUUUUUGGGUUGUAACAUGUACAUGUAUUUGAGAUACGAAACGAUUAAAAAUCAAAGAUAAUGGACUAGUAAAUCGUCCAAAUUCUUUUUGCGAUGGAAACAUUCGAGUUUCAUAUAUUUCAAUAAAAUUCACUCCCUUCGAAUGUCAGAUAUUUCAAGUUUCAAUUUGAUACGUCUGGACUUUGCGUGAUUUCAAAUUCAAAGUACCGGGAGGGGGGGGGAUUUCGCGCCAACUCGAUUAUUCUCUCUCUCCCUCCCAAACAAAUACAACUUUCAUUUCGAAACUUACACCUCGAAAAAAAUCCAUCAGCUUUACAUUCGAUCCUCUCGUAUGACCUACUUCUGCUCGGCGAAUAUUCAGACGGAAGGUCAGUUCCCGCGUUUACACAAAACUCGGGCAACUGGCGCAUUUAUACGCGCUGGAUCGGCCGUGAUCGUCGCCGAAUCCGCGGCCAGAGGGAGACAGCAGACAAAAAGUACGUUUGGCACACUCCACCAUUAGCGGUCGCGGCGAAGAGGCCCGGAACGAUCGGCCGUAACUCAUCCGAUGAGCACGAGGAUCAGACCAGCUCUGCUCUCCGUUACUCACUGACAGCCAGUCGUGGAAAAAGUUAACUUAUUCUAAGCGUGAAACCAGACCCGGACUCCGAAAAGAAGCUGCACAUCGUAAUCAGUCCCCUCGCGUGCCAUCGUCUGUGCUCGACUUUCGCAGGAACCAGAGCGUCUUCCGUUCCUUUAUUACCGGCAAAGCUGAAUCCUGAUUCGUCUCGCCUGACGAGCUGAAAUCUCCUGGCUAGGUUUUGUAACGGGCGAGGCGGACAUUGUAGACGGUCAGUGAGGGCAAUCUUUCGAUGGGAGAUGGUGAGAAGUUUUUUGCCCAUUGAUGUGAUUGUUCAGGAAUUUAUGAGGUAAUGACAGGCGCUAAAAUUAUACUUCGUGGGGGAGAAAAUGGUUGGAACUCUUACUGCUGGGAAGUAUUUGGAUACUUGUUUGGCGUUGAUGGAACGUAAUUCAACUACGAGGUGGUAGUCAUUCUUUACGAUCAUCGCAUAAACAGGAUGAAAUUUUUUUGUAGAAAACAGCAUGCAAUAAUAAAAUUCUUUAUUGUCAAACUUCA